UUCCAUCUUUAGAACCUUGAAAUCAUCGUCUGGAUCUCGUCUCGACUGGAAUCUCUGAACGAAGAAAUACCAGAUGAACGUGUUUGGUAAAGAAAAGUUAACAACAUCGUGAUCGUUCGGGAACACCUCAUUUUAGUUGCAACGUGAAGCUCUUCUCUUCUCUAAACAAUCAUCAUCAUUGAAAUAGCAUCAGCGGAACCCCGAUUUAAUAUGGAUUAACAUGGAGAGGAAUCUGAGAGAACCAUUCGGUAUAAGCUGAGUUUCUUCACCUUGAUAAGUUUAUUUGGAGCUUGCAAUGGAUCUUCAGGAUUUCCUGUGUGAACAGCUUGAUGUGCAAGAAUACUCUUGAUGGACUCUAUGGUUCCAAUAGUCUUCUUGACCGUUAUAAAAGCCAAAAAAUGUGUGAAAUCCUCGCUUCUCCGGCG